GGUAAUACAGAGGGUGCAAGCGUUAAUCGGAAUUACUGGGCGUAAAGCGCGCGUAGGUGGUUUGUUAAGUUGGAUGUGAAAUCCCCGGGCUCAACCUGGGAACUGCAUUCAAAACUGACUGACUAGAGUAUGGUAGAGGGUGGUGGAAUUUCCUGUGUAGCGGUGAAAUGCGUAGAUAUAGGAAGGAACACCAGUGGCGAAGGCGACCACCUGGACUGAUACUGACACUGAGGUGCGAAAGCGUGGGGAGCAAACAGGAUU
rnacentral:rRNA from 1 species